AGAUAAUACCUGAUAGAGGAUAAAUACUGGAAGGUUUUAUUCUUCAAAGCUUCGGCACCUGAGGAUGGGACUGCGUCGGAUUAGCUUGUUGUCGGGAUAAUUACCCGACAAGGCGAUAAUCCGUACGGGUUGUGAGAGCAAUAGCCCGGAGAUGGAUUCUGAGACAUGAAUCCAGGUCCUACGGGACGCAGCAGGCGCGAAACCUUCACAAUGCCUGAAAGGGUGAUGAGGGAACUCUGAGUGACUUCGCAAUGCGAAGUCUUUUGCCAAGUGCAAAAAGCUCGGUGAAUAAGUGGUGGGCAAGACAGUUGCCAGCCGCCGCGGUAAUAACUGCGCCACGAGUGGUGAUCUCGUUUAUUGGGCUUAAAGCGUUCGUAGCCGGUUUUAUAAGCAUCUGGUGAAAUCCGAUAGUAAACUAUUGGGCUGGCUAGGUGUACUGUAAGACUAGGGACCGGUAGGGGCCGGGAGUACUCCUAGGGUAGGGGUUAAAUCCUUUAAUCCUAGGGGGACUACCAGUGGCGAAGGCGCCCGGCUAGAACGGGUCCGACGGUGAGGGACGAAAGCUGGGGGAGCGAUCCGGAUUAGAUACCCGGGUAGUCCCAGCUGUAAACGAUGCCCGCUUGGUGUGGUGAAACUUUCGUGGUUUUGCCGUACCGUAGCGAAAGUGUUA
rnacentral:rRNA from 1 species